UUUCCGUAGGUGAAUCUGCGGAAGGAUCAUUACAGAGUUCAUGCCCUCACGGGUAGAUCUCCCACCCUUGAAUAUUUAUACCUUAGUUGCUUUGGCAGGCCGUGGAAACACCAUGGGCUCCGGCUUAUGCGUGCCUGCCAGAGGAAACAAACUCUGUUUUUAGUGAUGUCUGAGUACUAUAUAAUAGUUAAAACUUUCAACAACGGAUCUCUUGGUUCUG
rnacentral:misc_RNA from 1 species